rnacentral:rRNA from 1 species
UACAGAGGGUGCAAGCGUUGUUCGGAAUUAUUGGGCGUAAAGGGCGCGUAGGCGGUGCGGUAAGUCUGUAGUGAAAUCUCUGGGCUCAACUCAGAGUCUGCUGCAGAAACUGCCGUGCUUGAGUGCGGGAGAGGUGAGUGGAAUUCCCGGUGUAGCGGUGAAAUGCGUAGAUAUCGGAAGGAACACCUGUGGCGAAAGCGGCUCACUGGACCAUUACUGACGCUGAUGCACGAAAGCUAGGGGAGCAAACAGG